CCGCUUUCUUCCCUCCGCUGCGGAGCGCUGCCCAGGGGAUGCCGACGUGGGGCAGCUGGUGGAAGCUUUGUCUUAAAGGAGUUGUUGCUGUUGACUUGUAGGGGAUAAAGUUGCCCAAGGAACUACUCUUCAUGUAGAGAAGGGAAGCAGUGUCCGAGUACUUCAACAUAUAAAACCAGUCCAUCCCAGCAACAUGUUGGUUUCACAACAGUAGGAUUGGGGAGUGAUAUAUAGUCUGCAGGUAUGUAUAAGGUACAUUUCCUGCUGCCAAAACCUGGCCAAGACUGGACAGCAGGAAAGAAAACAAACAGUGUUCUAGCAUGUGAAUAAUAUGCAACUUUUCCCUUACCUGGCAGUCAGUGGCAGAGACAUAAGAAUGCUUUCAAUCCUGGAUCCUGGCGUUGCAAGGCCAAACUUUGUACCUCUGUCAUAAACAAGAUUGAACUCCACAUACCUGUGGUGGAAUAACAAAGGGUUAGCACAAAAACAAAUUUACUGUCACAUAGGUUGAUGUUUGCAUGUAGCAGGAGGCUGCAAACAAUAGUCAGUUUCAGUCUCCUUGACCCCAAGGCACCAGAACAAAGAGCACCAGUUUUGGACCAGCUGUUCCCCUUCAGCAUAUGUGCAGGAAUGAGUAUGUAGCCUUUUCCUCCUGUGAACAACAACAGGAAGUAGAGACUUUCACUGCACACACAGGCAUCACAAAACAAGUACAGGAGGUUUCCAAAUAAGUAAAAUGAAUUGACUGUCAACUCAAUAACUCAGCUGUGAACAUCUACUCCGGGGGUCGGCAACCUUUCAGAAGUCAUGUGCCAAGUCUUCAUUUAUUCACUCUAAUUUAAGGUUUUGCG